UUGGCGGACGGGUGAGUAACGCGUGGGUAACCUGCCUUACACAGGGGGAUAACACUUAGAAAUAGGUGCUAAUACCGCAUGAGCGCACAGGACCGCAUGGUCGAGUGUGAAAAACUGAGGUGGUGUAAGAUGGACCCGCGUCUGAUUAGCCAGUUGGCAGGGUAACGGCCUACCAAAGCGACGAUCAGUAGCCGGCCUGAGAGGGCGGACGGCCACAUUGGGACUGAGACACGGCCCAAACUCCUACGGGAGGCAGCAG
rnacentral:rRNA from 1 species